AGUAAUUCUCAAUUUAUCAGGGUCCAGCAUCAAAAAACCCCGGCUUAUCGGGGUUUUUUGUUAUCUGAAUUUCAUAAAACGAUGAUUCAGAUUGUGCUUGGAAUUUAAAUUGGGCUAUAGGCCCUUUUUUU
rnacentral:sRNA from 1 species